UUGACCUCGGAUCAGGUAGGAAUACCCGCUGAACUUAAGCAUAUCAAUAAGCGGAGGAAAAGAAACCAACAGGGAUUGCCCC
rnacentral:rRNA from 1 species